CGUAGCUAACGCGUUAAGUAUCACGCCUGGCAAGUACGCAGGCAACUGUGAAACUCAAAGGAAUUGACGGGGGACCGCACAAGCGGUGGAGUAUGUCGUUUAAUCGAUGCAACGCGAAGAACCUACCAAGCCUGACAUGUCACGAAUCCUGUAGAAUAUAAGAGUGCCUUAGGAGCGUGAACACAGGUGGUGCAUGGCUGUCAUCAGCUCGUGUCGUGAGAUGUUGGGUAAGUCCGCAAACGCAACCCU
rnacentral:rRNA from 1 species